rnacentral:lncRNA from 1 species
AGGAGCCGCGCGGCGCAGUGCAGCGAUGUGAUGAGCGCUGCUGCACCCGAGCAGGUCGGGCUGAGCGGGAACGGGGACACAGGAGGCAGGAAACGCUUUCUGUGGUGUGCAACCGCCGUCAGCCAUUUUAGGGUACAGAGGAGCGAUGAAAUGGGCUCCACGUGCUGGGGGAGCCGGCAGUGGGCAAGGAAAACUGCCUCGUGCUCAGUGGAUGUCAGCCAGAACCAACCCUGGGAAUCAGCUCCUUGCUCAGUGCCCUCUGCCAUGGAGGCAGCAAAGCAGAGGGCCGCCUCACUGCAGUCCUCUGUAGGCAAUUCUGCCAUAAGUUCAUUUAGGUGAGCUGUCUUUAGUUCCUUGCUCCACUCGCCGUAAUUGCUUCUUCAGAGUGAUGCUACACCUCAGGCGUGGGGCUGCUGCCUGGCUGGCCUUCCAUAGACAGACCAAGGAAGGUGAGGCUGAAGUCAUCAGCAGGUUGGUCACAAAUGACAUCUCUGUAGCGGUGCAUUGCUGUCUGCUGCUGGAACCUCAAACAGUGCCAGGGCUGAGGGCAGGACCACGGGACAGCUUCAGGCUGCUCAGUAUUUGGCUUCAGCGCUGGAAGUACCAGGGAAUAUUAAUUUUCUCUGGGCACGGAUAUUGUCCUCUUUACCUUUGUGAAAAAUUUUGGUGUUCGGAUGUUUGUGUGAGGUGUGCAGGUGGAACACAGAGAGGUGGUGCCUUUCUGCUGGUGUCUGUGGGGAUGUUAACGCUCCCUGCAAGCACAACAUCAGGAAGAAACGUUCUUUCCCUGAAAUAUCUUGUAGUUGUGUGGAUGGGAAGUGCUGGCGGCUGUGGGUUCGUGGUGCAUGAUCUGUCCUUUGUGCUCUUGGCAUCUGUUAUCGUGGAGGUCCCUGCUCCUGAACAGCCUUGCAAAGUGCUAUUACAAUAUCAAAUAAUCUGUGAAGUAGACAAGAGAUCAGGAAAGGAAUGCAGUAGAAAAAUGAGCUUGUGCCAAUAUAUUAUUCCAAGGAUAGUAAAAAAAAAAUCCAGCAUGUGGUUUGAAAACGUGGUACUACGUAGACACAUAGGGACAAAGCUUGGAAGUAAUGGCCCUUGGAUCUGAAUGACACAUUUCAGCCAGGGAACUGC